AAACUAACAAGGAUUCCCCUAGUAGCGGCGAGCGAAGCGGGAAGAGCUCAAAUUUAUAAUCUGGCGCUUUCGGCGUCCGAGUUGUAAUCUCUAGAAGUGUUUUCCGCGUUGGACCGCACAUAAGUCUGUUGGAAUACAGCGGCACAGUGGUGAGACCCCCGUUCACGGUGCGGAUGCCCAAUGCUUUGUGAUACACUUUCGAAGAGUCGAGUUGUUUGGGAAUGCAGCUCAAAUUGGGUGGUAAAUUCCAUCUAAAGCUAAAUAUUGGCGAGAGACCGAUAGCGAACAAGUACCGUGAGGGAAAGAUGAAAAGCACUUUGGAAAGAGAGUUAACAGUACGUGAAAUUGUUGGAAGGGAAACGCUUGAAGUCAGACUUGCUAUUCGGGGCUUGCUCCGAGUUGCAGGCCAGCAUCAGUUUUUCGGGGCGGAAAAUCACGGAUUGAAGGUAGCAGUUUCGGCUGUGUUAUAGCUUUCCGUUGGAUACGUCCUGGGGGACUGAGGAACGCAGUGUGCUUUUAGCGAGGGCUUCGGCUCUUUCACACUUAGGAUGCUGGUGGAAUGGCUUUAAACGAC
rnacentral:rRNA from 1 species